GGAAGAAGACGACGAAUCAGCGGCAGGACGACCGAGAGGAGACGAGGGACAUGGAGAACAAUAAGGAGACGAAUUGUGUGGUCCUCGUUGAGGCGAAAGAGGGGCGUUCUCGACAGACGACAGUCGCGGAAGUGAUGCGGAAGAAGACUCCUCACACAUGCAGAAUUGGGGAACCGGAGGGGGGCGAGGCCCUUCACGCAAGGAUCUGAGAGUGCCCCUCAAAAGGCUCGAUUUGACAGUCUGGACGCAGACAUUCCUUCGACAUUUCAUCCGGGGAAUGAUACGACCGGUAGGAACACUCCAAGGCCGAAUCGGGGGAUCUAACAGAGUGGACGAAUGAUCAUUGGAAUCGCGAACCAUUUCUUCAUCUCCUCGGGGUUCGUGCUCUACGUUCGGGGUGUCUUCCAAAGCCACGUCUUGGUCCUCUGGGACAAAGGAGACAGAGCGCGAGAGUGACUCUGUCGGGUUCUCGCCGACGCCUUUGUUCCUUUCUGUAUCUUUUUCCGACAGUCCGUAGCUCGACCUUCGUCGUUCCAAGCUCUCCUCACCCUCCCGUUCUUGGGUCGCAAGCGCAGGGUGAAGGAACACGGAGUGGACGCUGACGGAAAAUUUGGUUUUUUUUCCACGGUACCUUCUCAUUUCAUGACCUUUCUCCACGCUUCCAUUGGAGGCUCGCCCCCCGCCGUACACCCUGGUGAAGCACGGAGAAUCCCCCGUGUGUUUGGUUCGAGGCGCGGAAGAUUUCUCUGGCUCUGAGAGAGCAGCGGCAAAGCGGCCUCGUUCUGCACAUUUGCUCACUGCAUUUGGGUCCGGCGUAAGCAACGAAUCGUCUGGAAAUUGCGGAGAUAAACAAGACACCGCAUUUAGGGCAUUUGCGUAGUUCUCCGAGGGCCUCUCGAGGAGCCUCCUGUUUUCCAAAGCAGACUGGACACGGAGCAGCAGCCAACCCCCAUCUGGUGUGCCUCCGGGAGGAGUGCGAACGUGGAGGAUUUGGGGUUCCUUCGGGUGUACAUACACCGAUGCAAAGGCAUUCCACUCUGGCGGCGUUGCACUCAAGAGAGUCAACGAAGGAUCUAACGAGGGGAUAGGGAGGCGCGACGCCGCCACAGAGUUUCUGUGAGGGGAGGAACGCCGAACCGCCGGCCGUUCCGAUCGAGAGGACAUUUCGCGAACACUCGGUUUCUCGAUGGACAGACAGAUGUCACGCAAGACCUCGGUUUGUGACCCGCCCCGUUCGUCUGGCAACGGCCGGAAAGAUCGACGGCCUUCUUCCUGAUUUACAGCGCAGUGGCGGCGCUUUGCGAGGAGCAUAAGGAGUGACACGUCAAUCGGUGCUGAGCACGUAAUGGCGAGGCCAAUCGUCCACCGACCAGGGGGCAGGUGAACUCGGAAUAACUUGACAUAUCCGGCAGAGUCAAGUUCUCCUCUCAGAAACGUUUGAUGUGGAAGAAGAGUUGCAGACACUGGACACACGCAGGAGAAGAUCUGUCGACUCGGAUUCGAAAGCUCCGCGUCGUUCCAUUCGCCCGUUGACCGUGUAACCCACGUCUCAGCACUCACUGCGUCACUGCGGUUGAGAUGGAUCAAUUCGAGAUGCUCGAGGAGGCGUUCCCAUUGCAGAUCAGCCGCCGUUGCUUCUUCUUCUGCCUGGCACACUGACAGAGCGUCCAGUUCCUGCAGUCCAAAGAGCUUGGAGGCCUCUUGCGAGAAAUCCGUUCGGAGGAGAAGCCGGAGGGCUUUCGUUCUCACCUAGUGGAGCAACCUGCAAGGUUUCAACUUUCAUUUCCGAAGGAGGCGGCGGCCAG
rnacentral:lncRNA from 1 species